rnacentral:tRNA from 1 species
GGGCUCAUAGCUCAAUCGGUUAGAGCAGCGGACUCAUAAUCCGUUGGUUGCAGGUUCGAGUCCUGCUGGGCCCACCA